rnacentral:SRP_RNA from 1 species
GCGGGGACUAGCCCGGGUGGCUCGGCGUCACCUGUCACCCGAAACCGUCGGUAUGCGGGGGGCGAAGUUCGAGGACGGUUCUUCCGUACCGCGGGAGUCGUGAUUGCUCUGACGUAGAAGCCUCGUCCCAUGAGGUCAGUGGACAGGGAUCGAGACUCCGGAGGGGGUGGAGACCUGUUGCUGCGGGGACCGGCCCAGGCCCGGAAGGGAGCAGGCUUACCGUGGACAGCUGGCGCCCAUGGGGUCGCGGGGUGGAGGAAGGGCGGUGACGUGAACGCGGAUAUGUGGUCCCAACCGAGAACGUGUCCCCAU